GACUUAAUUAUUUCCAGGUGCAUCUCGAAGCACUGAAUAAAACAGCCCCAUAUGGGUUGUAAUUGAUUAACUGGAACAGUAUCUUCAGCCUCUGUAUCAGGUGAUUUCUUGGAAGUGCACAAAGUGGAGGGCAGCACCCAGCUGUGCUGAAUCUGAACCUCCUUCCAUCAUUGGGUUGAGAAAGCCAUGCAAUGAGAGGCACUGCACAGCCAGGACUCAGAAGCUGUGGUCUGCACCUAGCACAGGAUGGCUGAGGGGAUUCCAAAGGCUGGAAGAACGGGUGUAUGUGAGGAAAAGCCUGUCCAAUGUAAGUCUCCAUGGUGAGUCAGAAGAAAGAAGAUGGAGAGUAAUCAGAGAAUUUCACAGUGGAAAGGGGGUCCAGUGUCCAUCACUACAUGUUACUUCAAAAUGUCAGAGAAAUCAGCCUAAAAG
rnacentral:lncRNA from 1 species